rnacentral:rRNA from 1 species
CAGCAGCCCGAGUGGUGGUCGUUAUUAUUGGGCCUAAAGCGUCCGUAGCCGGUUUGGUAAAUCUUUGGGUAAAUCGAUGGGCUUAACUCAUCGACUUCCGAAGAGACUGCCAAACUUGGGACCGGGAGAGGUCGGAGGUACUCUAGGGGUAGGGGUGAAAUCCUGUAAUCCUUAGAGGACCACCAGUGGCGAAGGCGUCCGACUAGAACGGGUCCGACGGUCAGGGACGAAGCCGUGGGGCGCGAACCGGAUUAGAUACCCGAGUAGUCC